rnacentral:rRNA from 1 species
UACGUAGGGUGCGAGCGUUGUCCGGAAUUAUUGGGCGUAAAGAGCUUGUAGGCGGUUUGUCGCGUCUGCCGUGAAAAUUCGAGGCUCAACCUCGAACUUGCGGUGGGUACGGGCAGACUAGAGUGUGGUAGGGGAGACUGGAAUUCCUGGUGUAGCGGUGAAAUGCGCAGAUAUCAGGAGGAACACCAACAGCGAAGGCAGAUCUCUGGGACGUUACUGACGCUGAGACGCGAAAGCGUGGGGAGCAAACAGG